rnacentral:rRNA from 1 species
GACAGAGGGUGCAAACGUUGUUCGGAAUUACUGGGCGUAAAGCGCGUGUAGGCGGCUCGGCAAGUCGGGUGUGAAAGCCCUGGGCUUAACCUAGGAAGUGCACUCGAAACUGCCAAGCUUGAGUUCUGGAGAGGAAGGCGGAAUUCUCGGUGUAGAGGUGAAAUUCGUAGAUAUCAGGAGGAACACCGGUGGCGAAGGCGGCUUCCUGGACAAUUACUGACGCUGAGACGCGAAAGCGUGGGGAGCAAACAGG